rnacentral:rRNA from 1 species
UACGUAGGGGGCAAGCGUUGUCCGGAUUUAUUGGGCGUAAAGAGCGUGUAGGCGGCUUUACAGGUCCGUUGUGAAAACUCGAGGCUCAACCUCGAGACGCCGGUGGAAACCGUAAGGCUAGAGUCCGGAAGAGGAGAGUGGAAUUCCCCGUGUAGCGGUGAAAUGCGUAGAGAUGGGGGAGAACACUCGUGGCGAAGGCGGCCAGCUAGACCAGUUCUGACACUGAGGCGCGACAGCGUGGGGAGCAAACAGG